AGAGAGGGAGAGAGGAAGGGGAGUUGCAAAAAAAAGAGCUUUAGGAGUAUUAGAGUAAAGAUUAAUGAGUGGCAAUAUUUGUGGUAAAACCAGGAUUGUUCACCAGGACAGGAAUAUGUGCCAUGCGCAACACACAAGAAUUCUCUUGCCUGGUACUAGGAAGGGACGUUUACUGAGUACUUUGUUGCCAUAUCUCCUUUGUUCAGGAGUGCUACUUCAUUUGGAUGCACUCAAGCAAUUACUUAUCUUUUCUCCCUCACGAAGAUCAAGCAUCAGCACUUGCUUAUUCUAAAAAUGUUUAUUUUGGUGAAUAGCAGCACGUUGCAGAAGAAUCAAUCAGGAGCAGAGGCAUCACAUAAGCAAUGGUACAACUUUUGGACUCUCUCUUAUUGCUAAAUAGAUAAUUGCCGAGGUGGUGUUUGCUAGAUUCCGCGACUUUAGCUAACUUUUGGACUCGCGAGAGGCUAUGCAAUUUGGGCCUGACAUCCAAACCCAAAUGGGUCUUGGUGCAUCCUCGACAGAUAUCAGGUCUCACAAAAUUUGCCUAAGCCUGGCCGAGAAACAAUGGCGACUAUGCUUGGCGUCCCCAUGGCAAGCUCGAACUAUUUACAACAAAGAUUAAUGCUGGCUCAAGCUCAAGCAAGCCACGAAGAGGUUUCACGAACUGUUCUCUUCUUUUCUUCUUACACUAGAUGAAACCAAGACC
rnacentral:lncRNA from 1 species